GAUGAACGCUGACAGAAUGCUUAACACAUGCAAGUCGAUGGGGAAGUGGUGCUUGCACCAUGGUAACCAUGGCGGACGGGUGAGUAACGCGUAAGGAACUUGCCUGCGGGACUGGGAUAACAGCAGGAAACUGCUGAUAAUACCGGAUAAGGUCAUUAAGCUGCAUAGCUUAGUGAUGAAAGGAGACGCCUGCGGAGAGCCUUGCGUCCUAUUAGCUAGUUGGAGGGGUAACGGCCCACCAAGGCGAAGAUAGGUAGCCGGCCUGAGAGGGUGGACGGCCAAAAGGGGACCGGGAGACGGCCCUUAAUCCUACGGGGAGCAGGAGGGGGGAAUAAUGGACAAAGGGGGCAACCCUGAUCCAGCAAUUCUGUGUGCACGAAGACGGUUUUCGGAUUGUAAAGUGCUUUCAGCAGGGAAGAAGGAAGUGACGGUACCUGCAGAAGAAGCGACGGCUAAAUACGUG
rnacentral:rRNA from 1 species